ACGGCUCAGUAACACGUGGAUAACCUGCCCUUGGGUCCGGCAUAACCCCGGGAAACUGGGGAUAAUUCCGGAUAACGCACAUAUGCUGGAAUGCUUUAUGCGUAAAAUGGAUUCGUCUGCCCAAGGAUGGGUCUGCGGCCUAUCAGGUAGUAGUGGGUGUAAUGUACCUACUAGCCUACAACGGGUACGGGUUGUGAGAGCAAGAGCCCGGAGAUGGAUUCUGAGACAUGAAUCCAGGCCCUACGGGGCGCAGCAGGCGCGAAAACUUUACAAUGCGGGAAACCGUGAUAAGGGGACACCGAGUGCCAGCAUCAUAUGCUGGCUGUCCAGGUGUGUAAAAUACACCUGUUAGCAAGGGCCGGGCAAGACCGGUGCCAGCCGCCGCGGUAACACCGGCGGCCCGAGUGGUGAUCGUGAUUAUUGGGUCUAAAGGGUCCGUAGCCGGUUUGGUCAGUCCUCCGGGAAAUCUGACGGCUUAACCGUUGGGCUUUCGGGGGAUACUGCCAGGCUUGGAACCGGGAGAGGUAAGAGGUACUACAGGGGUAGGAGUGAAAUCUUGUAAUCCCUGUGGGACCACCUGUGGCGAAGGCGUCUUACCAGAACGGGUUCGACGGUGAGGGACGAAAGCUGGGGGCACGAACCGGAUUAGAUACCCGGGUAGUCCCAGCCGUAAACGAUGCUCGCUAGGUGUCAGGCAUGGCGCGACCGUGUCUGGUGCCGCAGGGAAGCCGUGAAGCGAGCCACCUGGGAAGUACGGCCGCAAGGCUGAAACUUAAAGGAAUUGGCGGGGGAGCAC
rnacentral:rRNA from 1 species